ACAAAAAUGAUCUGAAGAUCUUAAAGUGUAGAUUUUGAAUCAGUAGUCUGGGAUGAGGCCUGAGAUUCUGCAGUUCUAAUAAGUUCUCAGGUCAUUUCAAU
rnacentral:pre_miRNA from 1 species